rnacentral:lncRNA from 1 species
CAAAGGUAUAUAUAUAUAGAGAGUCCGGCUACUAUGCUAUUAAUAGCACGAAGUACUUGGUGCUACCAAGUUUUCCACCGUUAGAUAUACCAUUUUGAUCAUUUUCACCCGUUAGAUCAUACUACUCAACCAACCACCCACUCAAUCCUAGGGGACCCACAUCAUUCUAACCACACAUCUCUUAAUUCAAUGGCCAAAAACUUGGUAGCACCAAUGACUUGGUGCUAUUAAUAGCAUAGUAGCCUAGUUCUCUCUCUCUCUCUCUCUCUCUCUAUAUAUAUAUAUAUAUAGAGUGAGGUUACUAUGCUAUCGGAAGCAUGGAGCCUUCCGUGCUU